rnacentral:rRNA from 1 species
GAUGAACGCUAGCUACAGGCUUAACACAUGCAAGUCGAGGGGCAGCAUGAACUUAGCUUGCUAAGUUUGAUGGCGACCGGCGCACGGGUGAGUAACACGUAUCCAACCUGCCGAUGACUCGGGGAUAGCCUUUCGAAAGAAAGAUUAAUACCCGAUGGCAUAGUUCUUCCGCAUGGUAGAACUAUUAAAGAAUUUCGGUUAUCGAUGGGGAUGCGUUCCAUUAGUUUGUUGGCGGGGUAACGGCCCACCAAGACUACGAUGGAUAGGGGUUCUGAGAGGAAGGUCCCCCACAUUGGAACUGAGACACGGUCCAAACUCCUACGGGAGGCAGCAGUGAGGAAUAUUGGUCAAUGGACGAGAGUCUGAACCAGCCAAGUAGCGUGAAGGAUGACUGCCCUAUGGGUUGUAAACUUCUUUUAUACGGGAAUAAAGUGAGGCACGUGUGCCUUUUUGUAUGUACCGUAUGAAUAAGGAUCGGCUAACUCCGUG